rnacentral:rRNA from 1 species
GACGAACGCUGGCGGCGUGCUUAACACAUGCAAGUCGAACGGCAAGGCCCUGCUUUUUUGCUGUGCUCGGGUGGCGAACGCGUGCGUAACACGUGAGUAACCUGCCCUUCUCUUUGGUAUAACUUCAGGAAACUAGGGCUAAUACCUGAUCGGAGCUCCUGCUGCAUGGUGGGCGUUGGAACUUUUCGGCGGUUGGGGAUGGACUCGCGGCUUAUCAGCUUGUUGGUGGGGUAGUGGCUUACCAAGGGUUUGACGGGUAGCCGGCAUGUGAGGGUGACCGGGGACAAGGGGACUGAGAGACGGAGCAGAGGCGAACGGGAGGCAACAGGGGGGAGUAUGGCACAAUGGGAGGAAGUCUGAGGAAGAAACGCUGCGGGCGGGAAGACGGCUUGUGGGGAGAAAAAAGCUGUAGGCUGUGACGAAGCGGGAGUGACGGUAAUGGAUAAAGAAGCACCGGCUAACUACGUG